rnacentral:rRNA from 1 species
UACAGAGGGGGCAAGCGUUGUUCGGAAUUACUGGGCGUAAAGGGCGCGUAGGCGGCCUGUUAAGUCGAACGUGAAAUCCCCGGGCUCAACCCGGGAACUGCGUCCGAUACUGGCAGGCUUGAAUCCGGGAGAGGGAUGCGGAAUUCCAGGUGUAGCGGUGAAAUGCGUAGAUAUCAGGAGGAACACCGGUGGCGAAGGCGGGUCUCUGGGCCGUAACUGACGCUGAGGAGCGAAAGCACGGGGAGCGAACAGG